rnacentral:antisense_RNA from 1 species
UGGUAAUGUCAACCCACUGGUUGGAAUGGGAAGCUGCUGUGUUGUGAGCCAUCUUAUGGAAAACCCAUGUGGCAGAGAACCGAGGAUGGUGGCUGGCCAACAGCGAGCCAGGAGCUGAGGCCCACAGUCCAACAACUGAGACUGGGUCCCACUAUAUUGCCUGGGCUGGCCUCGGACUCUUGACCCCAAGUGAUCCUCUGGCCUCAGCCUCCCAAGCAGCUGGACUUAUAGGCAGGCACCACCACACCGAGCUAAAAACUCCUGGCUUCCCUGGGCCUGCUGCACCGGCUCUGGCUAGGUUGGAGAGGGCUGCAGGCAGGACUGUAGUCAGCAGAGGGCACCAAAGCCUCUCAACACACCCAUGGCCCAGGCCUGGCCCAGAAGGAGAGCGCUGAGAGCCAGGACAGGCGGGCUACGUGCCCUGUGGAUUCCCCCAUUUCCCAUGCUUCAUCCGGCCAUGGGCCUGCAGUGCACUCACAAAUGUGCAUAUAACCUCCUGUGUGUGUGUUACGCUCAUGAAAUUGUCUCUGAAUUUGCUUGACUUCAUGUGUUCCUGUGUGUGUGUAUGUGUGUGUGUGUGUGGUGUGUCUGGUGUAUCUGGUUCCCCACGAUGCACAUUUGACAGCCCCACAGUCAGGGUCAGGGCACAGGAACAGAUACUGUGUCUAUAACAAUCUAUAACACUGAUUUUGUUCAUCUCAAUAAAUGUGAAAAUGAAAUAAAAAUUAAUGUAGAAU